UCUCUGUUAGUAUAUCGGUUAGUACACGCGCCUGUCAUUACUGGGAUUUGAUUCGCGCGAAAGCUGGGUUCGACUCCCAGACAGAGAG